rfam:Macrostomum lignano uti_cns_0000314, whole genome shotgun sequence.
AAAACGGCCCUUUUCAGGGCCACCAAAUCUGUUUGAUGCUUGCCAG